UACAGAGGUCUCAAGCGUUGUUCGGAUUCAUUGGGCGUAAAGAGCGUGUAGGCGGCUCGAUAAGUCUGCUGUGAAAGUCCAGGGCUCAACCCUGGAAGGCCGGUGGAAACUGUCGGGCUAGAGUCCGGAAGAGGCGAGUGGAAUUCCCGGUGUAGCGGUGAAAUGCGCAGAUAUCGGGAGGAACACUAAUGGCGAAGGCAGCUCGCUGGGACGGUACUGACGCUGAGACGCGAAAGCGUGGGGAGCAAACAGG
rnacentral:rRNA from 1 species